rnacentral:rRNA from 1 species
GCGGCGGACGGGUGAGUAACACGUGGGUAACCUGCCUGUAAGACUGGGAUAACUCCGGGAAACCGGGGCUAAUACCGGAUGCUUGAUUGAACCGCAUGGUUCAAUUAUAAAAGGUGGCUUUUAGCUACCACUUACAGAUGGACCCGCGGCGCAUUAGCUAGUUGGUGAGGUAACGGCUCACCAAGGCAACGAUGCGUAGCCGACCUGAGAGGGUGAUCGGCCACACUGGGACUGAGACACGGCCCAAACUCCUACGGGAGGCAGCAGUAGGGAAUCUUCCGCAAUGGACGAAAGUCUGACGGAGCAACGCCGCGUGAGUGAUGAAGGUUUUCGGAUCGUAAAACUCUGUUGUUAGGGAAGAACAAGUACCGUUCGAAUAGGGCGGUACCUUGACGGUACCUAACCAGAAAGCCACGGCUAACUACGUGCCAGCAGCCGCGGUAAUACGUAGGUGGCAAGCGUUGUCCGGAAUUAUUGGGCGUAAAGCGCGCGCAGGCGGUUUCUUAAGUCUGAUGUGAAAGCCCCCGGCUCAACCGGGGAGGGUCAUUGGAAACUGGGGAACUUGAGUGCAGAAAAGGAGAGUGGAAUUCCACGUGUAGCGGUGAAAUGCGUAAAGAUGUGGAGGAACACCAGUGGCGAAGGCGACUCUCUGGUCUGUAACUGACGCUGAGGCGCGAAAGCGUGGGGAGCGAACAGGAUUAGAUACCCUGGUAGUCCACGCCGUAAACGAUGA